GGUAGAGUGGUACUUAACUUUCGCAAACCUUGUUUGUGAGGAAAGUCCACCCACUGCAAAGGCCACUCUCGGAAGAGAGUUCUUUAAGGGAAGGCAACCACUCAGAAACGAUACAGCCUUAGGGUAGGGUGAAGCCAUGAAGCCUUUGGUGACAAAGGCAAAAACAGGCAGACGCUCUCUAGGGAAUUGGUGAAACGGUGAGCCCUGGCCAGUGCAAGCAUAUGCGCUCAGUUGAAUGUUAAGCUGAACCAUUCCUUUCAACAGGAGGUUCAACAAAAGGUGGCUUACAGCCACUCUACC
rnacentral:RNase_P_RNA from 2 species